UUAGCUUAGCUGAAGUGGGAAGACACACUUGACUGUGGGCAGCACUGCUCCAUUGGCUGGGGUUCCCGACGGAAUAAAAAGGUAGAAAGAAGCUAAGUAACAGUAUUUAUCACUUUCUGCUGCUGGAUCAAAGAUGCACUGUGGUCAGCCCCCUCAAGCUCCCGAUACAAGCCAUGGCAGACUGUAUCCCCUAGAACCGAAGUUGCUUAGACACCUACAAGUAUCUACUUCAAUGCCAGUAUGUCACAUUGUGUCACCGAAGGUUCCCAAAGAGGUAGCGUGACAGAUAGGGUAGAGGCAGGUGAGAACGCUGGAGCUGCCUCCCAUCCUGCAAAGCUCUGCCUGCCUGCUAGCAGCUAACUUUCUGCCCCGUCUGCAAAGCUAACAGAUGAGCAUCUUUCCAAUGGCCACAGCAUCGCGUCAAGAACGACUUCAGAAAAGAAUACAAAGAAAAUGAAGAGAGAGAAACAAGGAGAGCGUUGUUUUCUCUUAGAAAUCUGGUUUGGAGUUAGGGAGCUCCUCAUGAAAAAAAAAAUUGGUACCAGUGAUUAUCUGGAUCUGCAAA